GACAGAGGGUGCAAACGUUGUUCGGAAUUACUGGGCGUAAAGCGCGUGUAGGCUGCUUCGCAAGUCGGAUGUGAAAGCCCUGGGCUCAACCCAGGAAGUGCAUUCGAAACUGCAGAGCUGGAGUCCUGGAGAGGAGGCGGAAUUCCGAGUGUAGAGGUGAAAUUCGUAGAUAUUCGGAAGAACACCAGUGGCGAAGGCGACUGACUGGACAAGUAUUGACGCUGAGGUACGAAAGCGUGGGAGCAACAGG
rnacentral:rRNA from 1 species